UGCACCUCUCCUACACCCCAUUUAAGGACUGACUGCCACUGAGGAAGGAUCUCUCCCUGGAGAUUGCUCCUUGGGGACUUUACUGUGAGUCUACAACACUGAAAUAAGCUUGGACCACAGGGAAACAGGGGCCAUCCAUUCUGCAUCAUGUGCUGUGCGACAUGGAGAUGCAGCUGGAGCUGUUGGGAAAUGACCUUGUCCACCUGAAGUUCAGCCAAUUAUUUUAGGUCGGACAGGAACUAGUCUGGGAUGCACGCUCCCCAGGUAACACCUAUUUUUGACAGUGCCAAAAGCAAGUGCACUUCUCCCCCUGUCACAUUUGUGCUCACGGUUCACAGCACUGAUGCAAACACAGUGACUGCAUCACAAGUGUCGUGUCAAAUCCUAGAAGCCUUUCUCAGGCUUAUUUCAGCAAUAUUUUUCUACCCCCAGCAGCAAUAACAGCUCUGCAUUACGAGAUGGAGACAUCAGUGUCACACGCUUCAUGUUUCAAAGUGAUGUCAGCACAUAUCCUACUAAUCUACCUGCCUCCUAUUACAGCUGAAAAGGUGACAUUUCCCAAUGGCUUAACAAGGAUUCUAUUAUUUUUAACACUUUAAAAUACACAGCCAAGCCUUAUACCGAGAUAUUUAGAUUGCUAAAAUAAUAAAUAAAUAAACCAAACUGCUUAUCUCACCUAAUACUCAAAGCUAAUUAGAGUGUGUACAAUUCUUCAGAGAUAAGGUAGAGGUUAUAUUUUAGAAACAGGCUAUUUUAAAUGCUUACAUAUAGAUUAUCAUCACUUCCUCUUGGCACUUAAUAUAAUAUUUGAUCUAAAUAUGCCUUGGUUUGCAGAGUACUGGAAGCACUUUGAUUAAGAAAUGACGCAUGGAAUUCAGAAAUAUACCAAUAAUACAAAGCAGAAGCAACCAAAAAGCUGUACAAAGAUUGCAAACAAUAUAUUUUUUUUAAGGACAGAGACUUUUUCACCAACAAAUGUAAAAAUCGCUUUCAGCAAUUCAGUGAAUUCAAGUCACCACCACCCUACAAAAAAAACACUAGAAGGCGGCAUAGGCUGAAACACGUGUCCAUAAUACGCUCAUCAGGUUCUUAUGGCUCACUGUAUCAGUUUCAAAGGUUUCUGUGGUAGUCAGCAAAACUACAAGGACAAUUCCCAAAGUAAAUUUACAGCAGCAGGGCACCAUCAGCAAUUAAACGCUUGCUUUGAUUAUGCUAUGAAAUUAUAUUGAAAGGCUUUAGCAGAAUUAGAGCAGAAUGUGCCACAGCAGAAGGUGAGGGAUAACGCACUUGAGAUGAUUAAUUCGGACUAUGAUAGGUUUGAAAACCCCUCAGAUUAAAAGAGAAAUCUAACAACUGCUGCCAGACAUUUUUAAAGGACUGUAUAUGCAAAUAUGUGUUUUACCAUCUUUAUGCAACAAAUGCAGCAACAUUAUCUAGUUCUUAAUGAGCUGAGUUCAUGAUUAAUAAUGGAAUACUGCCCUGCAUGUCUGCUGCAGUUGAAGAGAUUAGGGAUAUCACAUACACACUGUAGAUUCCCAGAGCAGGUCACCCUGAGAUCAUUCAGUCACUUAGAAAGAACAAAAAUGUUGAUUCUCUGUAAUUAUUCCCUUCUGGUAAGAGAGGAGCAUCUUCCAGUAAAGCAGAAAUCCCUGCACCCAAAUUAGAUCAUUUGGCUUUCCUCAGUGCCAACAGUGAGUCAUUCACUUGUACUCUCCAAAACGAAAGCUGUUGCAAUUUGCUACUGAUAAUACCGGUGAAUAUCUGGGUUUGGAUGCAGUGCCCACUUUUACUGUUUCAUCCUUCAAUCACUAUUUUAAAAAUAUUAGAGAGAUCACAAAAUAGUAACAGCUGGCCUAGCAGCCUAAGCUAAUUUACUGAGAGGGCUGUCUCUGGAUUCUUUGCCAGUAGGGAAGAAAAGGAGUCAUUUGCUAAACAAGGUGCUCUCUUUGCAGGAUCCAGUGUAAAGGGAACAGGACAUUUUCCCUUAAGCAAAACGAUAUUGCAGUUUCUUUGGAGAAAGCUCUGAGUAGAUAACUGUUGUUUCUUUGAAACAGAAAAGUGUGCAGAGUUUUCACAGCAUUACCAGCUGCUUUUUAAUUUAAGGCUCUUCCAUACACACUUGUUACAGCACGUUCAUUUGGGAGAGCAUACUUAGACUCAUAGAUUUGUUUCCUUAGACUUCUGCUGGAACAAGCCCACUAAAUGCGUGUCUUUGGUAAAGCGAAUUUUAGCCCGUGCAGGCAGGGGAAGUCCAAAAGCUCACGGGAACACCCUUUAUAACGCAUAUAACGCUUACGUGGCAUUGGAGCGACACCUGGCGGCAAGAAGCAGCAGUGCAAGUACAAAACAACAUUUUGCGCCAUUUUCUUCUUCACGAAAAACUGAGAGAAACGUGAAUGCAGACACUGCCACAAACCCUUGCAAUCUGCAGUA